rnacentral:rRNA from 1 species
ACGGGUGAGUAAUGCCUAGGAAUCUGCCUGGUAGUGGGGGAUAACGUUCGGAAACGGACGCUAAUACCGCAUACGUCCUACGGGAGAAAGCAGGGGACCUUCGGGCCUUGCGCUAUCAGAUGAGCCUAGGUCGGAUUAGCUAGUUGGUGAGGUAAUGGCUCACCAAGGCGACGAUCCGUAACUGGUCUGAGAGGAUGAUCAGUCACACUGGAACUGAGACACGGUCCAGACUCCUACGGGAGGCAGCAGUGGGGAAUAUUGGACAAUGGGCGAAAGCCUGAUCCAGCCAUGCCGCGUGUGUGAAGAAGGUCCUCGGAUUGUAAAGCACUUUAAGUUGGGAGGAAGGGCAUUAACCUAAUACGUUAGUGUUUUGACGUUACCGACAGAAUAAGCACCGGCUAACUCUGUGCCAGCAGCCGCGGUAAUACAGAGGGUGCAAGCGUUAAUCGGAAUUACUGGGCGUAAAGCGCGCGUAGGUGGUUUGUUAAGUUGGAUGUGAAAUCCCCGGGCUCAACCUGGGAACUGCAUUCAAAACUGACUGACUAGAGUAUGGUAGAGGGUGGUGGAAUUUCCUGUGUAGCGGUG